GAUAAAGCACGGGUUCUAUUUGAAAUAAAGUACCCGGGCUUCUUCAAGGAUUUUUAAAAGGGGAGAUUACCGGUUCUUAUUCGGAGGCCUAGAAACCAGUUGGUCCACGGCGGUCGACAUCUGGUGUCGGAGGUUGUUGAGUUAAUUCCGGCAGGAGUUCCAACCCUUAUUUUUUUUUCCCAGGAGUUCGGCCGGGGACUCAGGAGAGACUGCCGCAGACAAUGCGGAGGAAGGCGGGGAUGACGUCAAGUCAUCAUGCCCCUUAUGGCUUGGGCUACACACGUACUACAAUGGCUCUUAAUAGAGGGAAGCGAAGGAGCGAUCCGGAGCAAACCCCAAAAACAGAGUCCCAGUUCGGAUUGCAGGCUGCAACUCGCCUGCAUGAAGCAGGAAUCGCUAGUAAUCGCAG
rnacentral:rRNA from 1 species